GAAUUUUAUAUAAAUUUUUAAUUGAAUAUAAUUUAGUAAUAUUGUUAUAAUAAAUUUAUAUUUUAUUGGGAGGAUAUUUAAAUUAAUAAAACUUUAAAUUAAUAAUUCCAUAGAUUUAUGAUUAUAGAUGAAUGGUUAUUAUUGACUUAAUUAGAAUUAAUUACCUUAGGGAUAACAGCGUAAUAUCUUUAGAGAGUUCUUAUUAAUAAGGAUGAUUGC
rnacentral:rRNA from 1 species